rnacentral:RNase_P_RNA from 1 species
AGAGUAGACGCAGGCGGUUGCAGAUCAGUCCUAGUUACUGGUUUGAGGAAAGUCCGGACUCCCGAAAAACCAAACUUGCUGGAUAACGUCCAGUGCGAGCGAUCGUGAGGAUAGUGCCACAGAAAGAUACCGCCAGGAUUAGGGGCUGGGGACUAGGGACUGGGGACUGGGAAGAAUUUUCCUAAUCCCCAAUCCCUAAUCCCCAAUCCCCAACCUGGUAAGGGUGCAAAGGUGCGGUAAGAGCGCACCAGCAGUAUCGAGAGGUGCUGGCUCGGUAAACCCCGGUUGGGAGCAAGGCGAUAGGAACUACGGUUGGUUUUUUACCAGUUCCGCUCAAUGAGAGCCGCUAGAGGCGUUUGGUAACAAGCGUCCCAGAUAGAUAACUGCCCUCGCAAGAGAACAGAACCCGGCUUAUGUACUGCUCUUUCC